GAUGAACGCUGGCGGCGUGCCUAAUACAUGCAAGUCGAGCGAACGGACGAGAAGCUUGCUUUUCUGAUGUUAGCGGCGGACGGGUGAGUAACACGUGGAUAACCUACCUAUAAGACUGGGAUAACUUCGGGAAACCGGAGCUAAUACCGGAUAAUAUUUUGAACCGCAUGGUUCAAAAGUGAAAGACGGUCUUGCUGUCACUUAUAGAUGGAUCCGCGCUGCAUUAGCUAGUUGGUAAGGUAACGGCUUACCAAGGCAACGAUGCAUAGCCGACCUGAGAGGGUGAUCGGCCACACUGGAACUGAGACACGGUCCAGACUCUUACGGGAGGCAGCAGUAGGGAAUCUUCCGCAAUGGGCGAAAGCCUGACGGAGCAACGCCGCGUGAGUGAUGAAGGUCUUCGGACCGUAAAACUCUGUUAUUAGGGAAGAACAUAUGUGUAAGUAACUGUGCACAUCUUGACGGUACCUAAUCAGAAAGCCACGGCUAACUACGUG
rnacentral:rRNA from 1 species